GAUGAACGCUGGCGGCGUGCUUAACACAUGCAAGUCGAGCGAUGAAGUUUCCUUCGGGAAACGGAUUAGCGGCGGACGGGUGAGUAACACGUGGGUAACCUGCCUCAUAGAGUGGAAUAGCCUUUCGAAAGGAAGAUUAAUACCGCAUAAUGUUGAAAGAUGGCAUCAUCAUUCAACCAAAGGAGCAAUCCGCUAUGAGAUGGACCCGCGGCGCAUUAGCUAGUUGGUGGGGUAACGGCCUACCAAGGCGACGAUGCGUAGCCGACCUGAGAGGGUGAUCGGCCACAUUGGGACUGAGACACGGCCCAGACUCCUACGGGAGGCAGCAGUGGGGAAUAUUGCACAAUGGGGGAAACCCUGAUGCAGCAACGCCGCGUGAGUGAUGAAGGUUUUCGGAUCGUAAAGCUCUGUCUUUGGGGAAGAUAAWKGACGGKWCCMCMMC
rnacentral:rRNA from 1 species